CCUACGGGCGACAGCAGUGAGGAAUAUUGGUCAAUGGACGAGAGUCUGAACCAGCCAAGUAGCGUGAAGGAUGACUGCCCUAUGGGUUGUAAACUUCUUUUAUAUGGGAAUAAAAUGUUCCACGUGUGGGAUUUUGUAUGUACCAUAUGAAUAAGGAUCGGCUAACUCCGUGCCAGCAGCCGCGGUAAUACGGAGGAUCCGAGCGUUAUCCGCAUUUAUUGGGUUUAAAGGGAGCGUAGGUGGAUUGUUAAGUCAGUUGUGAAAGUUUGCGGCUCAACCGUAAAAUUGCAGUUGAAACUGGCAGUCUUGAGUACAGUAGAGGUGGGCGGAAUUCGUGGUGUAGCGGUGAAAUGCUUAGAUAUCACGAAGAACUCCGAUUGCGAAGGCAGUUCACUGGACUGCAACUGACACUGAGGCUCGAAAGUGUGGGUAUCAAACAGGAUUAGAUACCCCAGUAGUC
rnacentral:rRNA from 1 species